rnacentral:rRNA from 1 species
UACGAAGGGGGCUAGCGUUGCUCGGAAUCACUGGGCGUAAAGCGCACGUAGGCGGCUUUGUAAGUCAGGGGUGAAAUCCUGGAGCUCAACUCCAGAACUGCCCUUGAUACUGGGAAGCUCGAGUCCGGAAGAGGUGAGUGGAACUCCGAGUGUAGAGGUGAAAUUCGUAGAUAUUCGGAAGAACACCAGUGGCGAAGGCGGCUCACUGGUCCGGUACUGACGCUGAGGUGCGAAAGCGUGGGGAGCAAACAGG